UACGUAGGGCGCGAGCGUUGUCCGGAUUUAUUGGGCGUAAAGCGCUUGUAGGCGGCUUGUCGCGUCGAAUGUGAAAACUCGGGGCUCAACUCCGAGCUUGCAUUCGAUACGGGCAGGCUAGAGUUCGGUAGGGGAGACUGGAAUUCCAGGUGUAGCGGUGAAAUGCGCAGAUAUCAGGAGGAACACCGAUGGCGAAGGCAGGUCGCUGGGCCGAUACUGACACUGAGGAGCGAAAGCGUGGGGAGCGAACGGG
rnacentral:rRNA from 1 species